AAAGUUUGAGGGCGCCACGUUUUCACAGGAGACGGUGGAAGACGACAUGAACAGUCGUUUAACAAGGAAAUUCAUCGGUGUGGAGCCAUAUGGGCAGGUCAUAUGUUUAUCUGACAUUUUUCUGUCACAUUUCCUUAUCUGUUUACGUCAGUGUUAUCAUAUGAAAUACUCGACGUUAGCAUUAGCUUACCUUUAGCCUGCCAGCUAGCUUAGCCUGCCAGCUAGCUAGCUAUCAACUGCGAGCUUUGUGGAGGUGUUUUCGGUUGCAGAACAGGAGAUUUUUAUGUUUAUUAAAUCUUUAAUGAUUAAUUCCUUAUAUGUUAUUCGAUUAUUUCGGCAGCAGCAGUGUCCUCUAAGCCAUGGGAACCGCGUGUAGCUUAAACUACACGCGGUUGAAGUAUGCUAUCGACCUGAGUCUCGUGGAUGCUGUCGCGGAGCGGGAGUUUUUCCUUUGUGAUUCAGUGGAUUCAAUGGUAUUCAAUGGAACUGAAUUGCAAAAUUUCGGCAAUAAGAAGAGCUUGUCCAGACCCUGAAAAUAUAUCAAUAAUGACUGAAACCUGACUGGAAGGAGUAGAAAUUUUGGAGCAAGCGUCUAAGAAGCAGAGUCCUCUCCGUGUGUAAAGCAGCAGCUUGCACCAACUAAGACGCCUGACUGAGAAGAAUAUUGAAGGACUUUGACGCUCAAGAAUUUGGUCUCAAAAGCUUAGACAAGGCACAAGUGCUGACUUGCAGUCGUUUGGCGGCAUGCUGUGUGGAGAUCUUCAUUAAAACCCGACUAACGGCGCAUCUUCCUGCGAGAGAGAUCCAGUGUUUCAUUGAAGAUUAGACUCGUCUGGCCCGGGGACUCUGAUGAGUUCAAACACAAACGGCCAACCCAGUUGAGGACAGGAAGCAGGAUGUCAAAAACGCUCAGGUGGGGUCGCUGUUCUGCCAAUGUUGUGUGAAACGGACUUCGGUAGGAAACCCAUUUCCGCCGCUGGGCAAAAAGUUAUCCCAAUGGUAAGUCAUAAUUAUGAGAUAAAAAGUCACACACUGCGUAUGUACGGGAUACGUACUGCACCUUCUUCACUCGACCCGAUUCAAUUCAGUAGGAUACCCACCUUGCUUACGAUUGUGUCGCCAUUUUAUCUCACAAUUUUUAACACAUAAUUGUGACUUACCAUUAGGAUUAAGUUUUUUUUCAGCCUUCUUUAGACUCCACUCAGUGGCAUCCUUGCAAUCGUAGUGUCUCAUUAGGUGUACCUAAUCUUCUGACCCUGAGGUGAAAUGAAUCAGGCAUGCCAACACAUCUGUGAAGUCCUCGCUUACAGUUUUUCCCCGGCUAAACUUAAGCCCGUUACGCGUUAUCGCUUCACUUCAGCAUCACCUGGAGUCAUUUUCAACCGGAGCCUUUUCAAGCAUCAGAGGUUUAAGCAUCCCUGAGCGCGACCCUUGCACGACCUUGCGCAGACUCAAGCAUCAAGAAUCUCUUUCAUCCCAAACGUCAAUAAGGCUAGAGAAAGCAACAGAUUUACGGUCAAGUCUGCAUGUGGACUAUUUAUACGCCUGGAGUGUUGUUUUUCCAGCAGGUUCUGAUCCACUUGGGUCCUAUUUGACAAAACCGGCCGUCUUGUGUUUGCUUGUGUUUACAGAGCCAGAAGGCUCCUCGCAUUGCCAAGCCUCGUGUCAGUGAUGCCUUUUUCAUUUGUGCUUGUCCAAGGUUGGCCCACGUUUCCCUGAAACACUAAAGGGGGUGUGGGAGGUUCCCCUCUGCUUUCUCCCGGACCAAAAAUGGGCCGAUGAAGCGUGAAAAAAGCGGCAUUUUCUGCCAUAUCUGAGCCCUUCCAGAUCCCGUAAUGCGGGAAAUUUCUCCCGGACUGGAAAAGGGCUGCACGCAAAAAAUUCAUCAAAUAAUCUGCACCUCAGAAUGUGUCUCUCCUUUUUUGCCAUGAGGAUGUGGGAAAUUACCCCCAACUCCCAAAUCACCGCCGAGGAAAAGUGGGAUUUUCUGCCAUUUAGGGGUCCUGCUGGGACCCCCCCAAGGAGGCUGUGGGAGGUUUCCCUCACUUUGUAAACCAGAAAAUAGCAAUGGAAGCAAGACGGAAAGAAAACUAAAUGAUUCCACUGCACUUUUCUGGUGUGGGGGGUCCCAGCAGGACCCCAAAAUGGCAGAAAAUGCCACUGUUCCAAGGCGUGAUUUUUGACAGAAGUUAGCUGGAAGAUAAAUGUGAAAAGGCCGAUGUGCCGCCAUGUUGGACGGACUCACUGCGGCAUAACGUCAUCAUCGUUUAUCCUUGAACGUCACACACGCCCACCUCUUUCUUGUCUCUCCCUUUACCCGGAGGUGUUCAGCAUUUUAAAGCGCACGCAGAGGUAGAUAGAGCCGGAUGCUGACUACCGCCAUCUUGUGUGGCCGUUGAAAAACAAAACAAAAGAAAAAACAACCCAUGAUACUCCCAGUGCAGCUGAUGCCAUCUUGUGGAGUUCAUUUUAAAAAAGGAGGUUGCCUACAGCCACAGCUUUGAAUGUUUUUUUGGUGAUUUGCUUUUGUCGGCCAUGCAUCCUGCGACUGUGAGAGACUCGGCGGUUCAUAAAAAGGGGCUUUGAUUGGAGCGUUUCUGGUAGUUGUUUUUCGACCCCAUACCACUCCUAAUCAUUUGUUUUGGGUUUAUGUGCGCUUUAAAAUGUAAUGGGAGCUUGUUAUGUUGGUCUUCCUGCUGAUUCAGUGAAUCCCUUCAAUCAAUCAAGCGUCUCAUUGAGCACUUUACAUCAUUGAUCCGAUCGCCCCCGGAGGAGGCUUCAAUUUGUUUUAUUCCUGCUGAUGCCGAGACAGCAGCAUCCCAUAAUAAGACUCUUGUUGACACACGGAAGCCCGCUGUGAACAACAGGAGCCUCCAGAGGUCCGCUAAGGAGCCAAAGAAGGCGAGAAGGAGCGAUGGACCUUUUUGAGAGGCCGUGACUCGCAAGUUAAGUUUGCCACAUGAUUUAUGAGUGUUAUUAUUGUCGCCAUGACGACCACCGCUUCCUCGAUUAAACCUCUUUUUGAUCCUCCAGGCAGCCUGAAGAGAAGCAUAUGCGAGCUGUUCCCUUUCUCCAACAGAAUGAAAGGUGUUGUGGUGGCAGCAGCGACCUCCCCCAAGGCCAUAAAGGACCUUUCUCCUGACCCGGAUUAAGUGCUGAUGGCCCACCAUAGGGACGUAAUUAUGCCUCAAUCCUUUAUUGAACAUUAGCAGGGAAUUAUGGAUGGAAAAUGUUCUCCGAUAAAUCAAAUCUAAAUGAGCAGUUUUUUAAAGCUUGGCUGUAAGCUUCCAAUUUCAAUGAAAUAAAUAAAUGCUAGCGAGUGAUUAGCUUCUGAUGGAAUAAUGACUUCAUUCCAAAGCAGAGAAUUAUUCAAGUGAAGCCGAGCUUGUGAAUGGGAUUUGCUGAAGUCUUAUCCUGCCAUCUCGUGGCGGAGGUCGGAACUGCACAGUGAAGAAAAAAAAAAAAAGCUCGUUGAGGAUGACGUCACUGCUGGAGCCAUCGGACAAACCGCUGUCCACAAACACGGAGCCUGCGAAGAUGACCAGAGGAGUUGGGAUGCUAAACGUCGCCCGAAUACGCCCCAAGUCUGCUGUACUUACUGCUGCUGUUGGUGCUGUUGCUGGUGACAGAGGAGCUUCGUGAAGACAGCGGGCGAGGAGCCGAGGCCGAUGAGUUCAAAUCGGCUUCGUGCGUCACAUUACCUGAGUUUUCAGCCAAUCGCAGGCGACCGCAGCACAGGUAGGUUCUCCACUGCCUGCGUACGUUCUCCUUGCAGGCGCAGUGGAAGACAAAGACGAAGAAGCCUACGGGAUUAAAAGUAGCUUCACGCACAGGAAGUGGACACGAGGGCGUGUGCUGUGGGUGAAAUGUGACCUUGCAGGGAGUUGAAGAUGGCGAAGAGGUAGACAAAGGGCAGGUAGAGCGGCCCCCAGGCGAACAGAGCAAAGCCCCAAGCCAGGCCCAGCAGCACCACCAGGCCGGCGAUGCUGCGGAGGUCGGUGGCCAAGCCCCGGUGAGGGGACUGGUUGUGAGGGUUCUGUCUCUUGAUGCGGGACAGCUGGACCAUGACCACCACGAAGACCAGCAGGCACGACGCAAAGAUGAGCAGGAAAGAUGACCACAACCACCACCACGAGAGGAACACCUGCACACAUGAAGAUGUUACCAUUCUGCGUUCCAAACAACGAGACACAUGAAACAGGAUACACACCCCAGCCAACGAGCGAGAACUUGAGCAUGUAUCUGCUGAGGUACGGCGUGAACACCCGCACGAUGCUCAGGUACAUGUGCAGGGCCUCCAGCCCGGCCCAGGUGAAGGAGGUCAGCAGGAAGUAGUGCAGGAAGAAGGCGGUGCUGAUGCAAAGGCCGGGGGCCGGAUACAGCGCCAGCCAGCCGUCCAGCAGGUAGACCAGGUUGAGGAAGAGGAGGGAGAAGCAGAGCUGGACCAAGAUCUUGGCUGGAAUGUCCCUCAACAGCUUCCUGCACGGGAACAACAGCGUUUAAAGGACAGGAGAAUAAAUAAUAAGAACUUAAGUGCUUUAUUUACGUGUCUUACACAAAGGAAAGGUAAGUCAGUAAGGUGGCGGCAAGAAAAAUAGCCGAAAUGCCGCAGCCGAUAUAGGUGAUGAAGGUGAGAAUUUGUGCCUGCUGGGGGUCUCGUAUCCCCUCUCUGGAGAGGUCCUGUAUUAGGACAGAACAGGGGUGCUACACCACGGUACCAUGAUGUUGUCUCACUGAUUCAAUAAGAAGACUGACCAGCAGAAUGGCGAAGGAGGUGAGGUGGUCGCAGGUGCAGGUCGUCCCCCAUGGAGUGGAGUUCACCACAAAGCAGCCGUCCGAACUCCAACCUCCUGCACCAUCUAAGAAAUAUAAAAGUGAUUAAUAUUAAUUGACAGAAUUGAAAUGGACAAUAUACGUAUAUUCUUACCAU